CUAAUGCAGUGACACUGCAAACUCCCUUAACCACAUAAUCCCAUGCCGUUUUGGAAGACAAACACAAAAGCAGAACAACUACUGUUGCCAGGCUUGUCAGGAGCUAACAUCCUGCCAGCAAAUAAUUCCUCAAGCUUCCUCUUGAUGAAACCACAGGAGUUGAAUUUCCACAGCUGAUGAGGAGCUGGCUGUCAAGAUGAUCUCUCUGGGAGAGCAUUUAAGAAAUGGAACAGCCAGCUGGGCAUCACACUUCUCUAGAAGGUCAGUCAUGUUCAGCUUUGAAAAUCUGCAACUGCACCAACUAUUUCUGGAGGUGAGAA